ACGGCGCGGCGAGCAGUUACCUCUCGAGCGAUAAAUUCCGGAGGAUCAACAGUUCUGCCGGCUUUUUGACAGUGACAAACGCAGCCGAGUCGCGUCAUCUAAUUACACGGAACUACGAGUGGCAGCUGUCCAUCGACGUUUCGAGCGAGCCAGGUCGGAGGGGAGGAUUGGCGAAAUCCCGCGUGGAACACUUACCUGGAUAAAGGAACAGCCUGGAUCCGAUGACAGCCAAGGGUCGCCUCUUCCACUGGGGAAAAACCAACCCCUUCAACACGAGCGCGUACCCGCAACGGCUGUAUCCAACAAGCUCCGGCAAGGGGGAUGCGGGUCCUGUGAGAAAAACGCGAAGCAUUAUGUACACGGAAUUCCUACAACUUCGAGGAAAUAUAAGCAACUAGGAAAAUUAAGGACGAGGGAACCGAUUUCACUGAAACUGCCGGCAGCUUUAAUAUGCCCACGCUACCGCUUUAGCGAAAAAUAUCGAAGUGUGGGAAAGUAUAGGUCAAGCAUUGAGAUGUUGAAGAAGCCAGUUUAUGUUUUCAAACAGCCACUUGGUAACGACGGAAGCUACAGCUUUGGAAUUGAAUUAAAAUUAGAAACGGUUAACUGCGUAGACGGUGAGCACAAGUGACAUCUGUAUGCAUCCGCAUUAAUGCAGUUUCGCGUUAGAAUUCACUUUCGAUGUUACCGAAAUUCAUCGUUAAAUAACGCUUCAUGGCGCAAAGCAUGCAAAUCAUCCCCAAGAGACAUCAUAGACGGCGUUCACUCGAAACCAUCAUGUAUAUUUCAUGUAGAAAUGUGCAUAAACGGCUUCUAUCGGCCGCGCAACUACAAUAUUUCCGAUCGUUACGUUUGCUUUGGCGGCAAUUUUCCCGUCUUAUUUAUAUUUUUUACAAUUUGCAUUUCUUAUCGAACUUUUAAAUUGGAAUUUGCGAGAUUUCCUCGCGUUUGCCUUCGUAUCGUGUUUGACGGUGUUUUUCCGAAAAUUUAUGAGAAGAGAAAAGUCAAGUAAACUUGAUAAAUUGUGUUCCAACGCGAUACAAUAUCAAAUAUGUGUAACAUCAAAUGUAUGUAAUAAUCGACCAGCUCCUUCGGAAUUUCAUACCGUUGAAUAUCUUAAUCAACCAACAUCGACGAGAGGGGAACCAAGCAUUCCACAAAGCCGCGAGUUUGUCCGACGAACCAGCAAUAUGCACGUUAUCUCUUGGCAUACUAAAUGAAAAUCUAUCGAAUAAAUAUUGACGUUCAUGCGGCUCCUGACGCGGCUUCGUGCUUGCUCGCCGAUUAACGGACCACGGUUAUCGCCAGUUACGCGCAUAUAUUAUGUAUAAUUCUGCAUGUGGCUCGUUACAUUGUCAAGAAUAAAAAUGGACUCUCGAAUUAGAAUUAAGAAUAUUUCAAUAAACUAUAUUAAUUUGGAUUUCGGAAUUGUUGGAAUUUGAAUUUCAGAGUAACUCCCACUUAUCUGUCCGAUAAUUUAAUAUAAUUCAGAAAUAGUUAUAUACAUGGAGAAGUCGAAACGUAGAAAAUUUGUGGAAAUAAAUUUAAAACCCGCUCGAACGUCACAUCUCAGUUUUAUACCACUUUUCCGUAUUAUUACGAGGUUUAUCCACGGUUCACUACGAUAUCUAUGGAAAAACUGAUGAGGUAGGGUUCACAGUGAAACAGAAUCAUGAUAUUCGAUGGGAAGAUGACGAAGUGCUGGACUAACUCAAUUAACCCGUUGAUGGUGCUGGCGUGGCUGGUUGGUGAGCCAUUAAAAGCGUAGUCAGUGUAACAGGAUCCAAGCACAUCCUGUAAUUAUCUACACCCCUAAAACGUCAUUUCUGGACAAUUCCACGAAAGCAGUAACUACAGCUAUCUUAUUGGCGACUUAAUCUUGGAUACGGUCCUCGAGAUGGACGAAUUAUAAUUAUAUGUAUAGUCAUCAAGGUAUCAGAAACAAUAAAGUGUAUCUUUUGUUACACAAGUAGGUAUGAAACUCGAUCACACAAAAAGUUGACAGAAAUAAUUCAGGUAAGGCAUAGACACGAAUCGAAAAACAUUAUUAUUUGAUAAUUCUUUUCUGCAUAAUUUUCUGCAAGAUUAAAUGUUCUUUUAUAAAUUUCGAAGGUUGGAAAGUUUUACAAUAUUCUGAACGUGGUCACUAGUUUAUGCUUUUUGAAUUUUAGCUUGUCUGCAUUACGUAAUGGUUGCAUUAGCAGCAUUAGCUCUUUAUUUGCGAGGAUUCUAUGAGUUUGCGAGGCAUUUAGAAAAGUCAAUGCAAAAACGAACAUCAUCUGGAAAUUGUAAAGCUUCUUUGUAUAAUGCGUUGUGAAUGUAAGUUAGUUAGAGAAUCAGAAACAUAAAGACAGAGGAUGGAGUUGACUGUUAUUUCGAGCAACUUAAUUAAGAGUUUCGAAAAGCUGUAAAAGUAAAAUUAUCUCGGUGUCGAGUAUUAUCGACUAAAGAGCAACCGGUCAGGUCAAAUCGAUCGGUCGAUAACGCGUACCUCGAAUGACUUAACGUUCAAGGUGGAGGAGAUGAAAUAACUCGAGCGUUAGAUUUAGACGGCACUUUAUUUGUAUUAGAUGUAGCACUUAAGGGGGG